CCAUAUAAAUCACUAGUACUCUAUUAACAUAAAAAAUGAUCUAAUUAUCAUAAUAAAUUAGUUAAUUGAUCAAAUAUAGUACAAACACGCGUAAAAAAAGAUCACCUCCUGCCUGCAUGUCGACACUGUAUUUAAUCAAUCGACCAAAAUUAACUUCAUACUAACCGGUACUCUCCAUAAAAAGACUAUAUGAGAUCGAGUACAAGCAUCAAAAAUUAAUCUUGGAAAGAAAACACUAGCAGAUUUUAUCUAUAAAUCACUUCUUUUCUCAAAGUUAUGCCACCGAGACAAAAUGACUGUUUCCACAAUAAAAUUUUGAUUAUGUUCUUUUACUAUUAUUAAUAAUUACUGCAACUAACAGAGUCGAAUGAAGUUUAGUUCUGUUUUAUAAAACUUUAUCCACCACCAAAGUUAACAAACCAAGAAUCGACAAUUAUGAAUGAGAAAAUUAUUAUUAUUAUUAUCACAAUAUAAUCUUAUUGAUCCCAAAGUGAGAAAACGAAUAAAAGAUUAGCCUUGAAAAGGGAAAAAACAACACAAUAAUUUGUUUGGGAUCCUUAUAAACAAUAACUAAAUUUAUUAUCGUAUGUUACAAAUAUUUGAUUUAAGCUAAAAUGAUUCAAUGAGAAAUUGGUUAUUAUUUAAAAUACACGACUUAAUUUCGAAAUUGAACUCUCAAAAAGGGAGUGUAUGCAAAAUACAUAUACUUCAACAUAUGAAAGAAUAUAUAUAUAUAUAUAGUUUAAAUGUAUCCCCUAUAUUAGCAAAAAAUAAAAUAGCGAUCCAAUAAUACUUUGUUGUACAAAAUGGUGUGAAUAGUAUUUAUUAAUUGCAACUAUUAUAGAACAUUCAAUAAUUAAAAUCUUGCAGUCAUCUUCUGUUGACUGUAGCAUUACUGAAAGAACUCGAUCACCUACAAAUAAAUUACUCCUAUAUCUCUAAUUUAGUUCGGCAAGUAAUAGUAAAUUUAUGUUCAUUUUAGGUCAAGGGACAUAAAAGAAAAUAACUAUCAUAUUCAUCAGUAAAAUUGUACGUAAACGUAAUAAUAAAAUAGCGAAAAAUAUCACCAGUAGAAUGAAAAGUUUUGAAGCACGCCAUCAGCUGCACGCCCAGUGGUUCCCAUUUGGAGUGCCUAGCUAGCUCUCUAGAUCAAUUGUAUGCCUGGCCAAGUCCUCCUUAACUAUGUCAUUAGGCAAAUGUUUGGAAACAGACUCCAAUAAAUUUACUAGCUAGUUUCUUAAUCAUGCGUUGCGUAUAUAUGUUGAAACCAUACCUACUAGUAAAGCUCCCUCUACAGAGAUUUGGUGCCCAUUAUAAUAUUACCUAUUCCCCAUAUACAAAUUUAACCUCGCAGCAAUUAAAGAGAAAACUGAUAUUUAAUUAUUCUAGCAUAAAUUAAAGACGAAUAUGAUCCACGCCAACGUGUAACCAAGUAUUAAUUGCAUAGUUUAGAUACUCCACCUGUAGUAGUAAUUAAUGAAAUGGAUACAGCCUUAAUUACCCAGUUACCCUUGUACGUAUAACUAUAGGUUUGGUACUUGUGUUGGCCAGUAAUGGCAUUUUCGAUCCUCGAUCAUGAGCUACAUUGUACGAUAUGCACUCCACAAUACAAUGCGUAGUAGAUAUAUACACCUAACAAAUGCAAUGCAUUAUACAUAUAGCAUAAACGAGUGGUAUAUAUAUACAUACAUAUAUAUAUAUAUAUAUAUAUAUAUAUAUAUAUAUAAUUUUCAAAACAAAAAUAGUACUACACCAAUAUCAAUAUGACAACUUCAUCAACAAAAUCCCUGCGAAUUUAAGCAAACCGAAAUUCAAAGCUAUUCACGAAUGGAUUCUUUUGCCGGUACAUUUUUGCCCUUGUUACUUGGGAUCAACUUUGGAAGGAAAAAUUAUAUAAAAUCUCAUAUUCACCUGAUUUCUCCAAUCUCGAUCGGGCAUAAGAAUAUAUAUAUAGAUCAAGAAACUCUGCACAAGGAAUAGAAAAUGAAAAACAAACCAACAUAAAUAGAAUUUAGAUGCAAAGCCUUAUAGUUUCAAAAAACGUAGAACAAAGAGGGAAAUAAUAAUUAUAUAUAGCCAGCAAAAUAAAUUAUUAACGAGUGGCCUUGGAGAAGAUAUUAGGGUUUACCCACGGGAUCGAUCAACAUGCUCCUCACUCUAACUAUGGGGUUGAAUAUUAAGCAGGAGUAUCUAAUUGUUUAUCAAAUAAGAAACUAGUAGUAAUUUACAGGAAUUAUUAGUGUAGGGUUAUGAUCAAGUAUAUAUACAAACAAAAGGGAAAUCACAUACAAGCUGCCACUUACUUACCUAGCUAGAUAUUAAUUUGUUACUUUAAUUGUAUAUAGGGAGUAUAAAUAAAUAUAAAAUGAAUUUAUUGAUUGAUUCUACAGAUACAUAUACAUAUAUAUAUAUAAGCGAUCGAUUGAGAUUAUUGAUGAUAUGGAUGGAUGAGAAAGGGUUUUGCAAAGAGAGACCAACAGAGCUCCGUUGGCAGUAUGCCCACCUCCAUCUAUAUAUACAUAUACAUGAAACUAAAAUUGAAACUGAGAUUGAUAUAUAUAUAUAUAGAGAGAGAGAGAUUGUGGUUGAAAUAUCAAAAAUACGUAUAACACAAACACUGUUUUUUUUGGUGUAUACAUACUACACACAUAGUUUGGGGAGGAGGUGGACAGAAUGCCAAAAAACUCGGUAAGAAGCCCUUUGUUAAACCUCCCCAUGACCUUAUUUCCUUACCUUUUCUUCCGUUAAAUCUUGUGUAUAUUUUUUUCACCCCUCAUCACCAAAAUACACAGAAUACUGGUUAGCUACUUGCUGGUAUGUAUGACUUGUAUUAUUAGAGAUCAAGAGAGGAGAGAGGGAUUGAAGAUGGGGCAGUUGGGUUGUACUACUACUACAACAACUAUUUAAGAUGCAUGUGAGAUUGUGAGGUGAGAUCAUAAGGCUAGGCUAGGCUACUAUAGUAAAUAAGAGAGAGAAAGAAAUAAGAAGAGGUGUAAAUCCAUAAUAAGAAGUUAAGAGAGGGAGAGAUUGGAUGGUUGAUGAGUUGAUUGAAUCUUUACAAAGAGGCAGGAUGAGGGCAUAUUUAGAAGGAAAGGGGAUCAUCAUCAUCAUACUUAUUCCUCC
rnacentral:lncRNA from 1 species